GCCCAGGUCUGGAUCGGUGUCCAGUAUGAGUUGCCUCCUUUGAGGCAGACAGAGCUGAGACAGAACAGGAGAUCUGCCUUAUUAUGGUGCUGGGCUAAUCCUCCUGCCAUGGUAUGAACCACCUCCCCAUGGCAUUGGGCUAUGAUUUCAUUAGACAGGGAGCAGCUUUACCUUCUAGAAGGGCCCAAAGGAGACAUCCUUCCAGCCUCAGAAACAUCCCUGACGUUUCUAAAGGGGCGAAGGACAUCUCCUGAAAUCAGAGAGAGAGGAGGGUUAACACUGCAAGGCCUGAGUCUCUCCUAUCAUUGCAUGCACAUGUACAAACACACGCAUGUCGCCCAGACACUGCAUUUGGGAAGAACGUGAAAGAAACCUGAAAGCUCCCUGGAAGUAUGUCAAUGGGCACUAGGGAACUUUCAGUUUGCAGCAGCAGGAUCCACAUAGCCACUUGCUGUGCAGCAGGCGGGCAGCAGGAUACCCUAGCUUGUUGUACACUAACUACCCCUGUAGCAGACACACCCCAAGAGCCAUUGAGCCCAAGCAAGACUCUCCCAGUUGCAAUUACCUAGGAGCUGUCCUGUGGAAAGUGUUAUUGAAUUAACCCACAAGACUGCAGGGACAGCCCUCUCACUGUAGGACUUCUGUUUAAAAUUGCUCACCUGAGGCAGCCAUGGGAGAAACCCAGACUGGAGUUUGAGUUUUAGUCUUGACCCUAACUUCCCUAUACAGAAGAAGCUUUGUUUUUGUUUUUUACAGAAACUUAAUAGUACUCAGUGGAAAUCACCUUGCAAGAUAGGAGGAUUUCAAAAAGUGUGGA